GAAGGUAGUAUAUUACAAUUUUUCCAGUCUAUUACAAAGCAGAUAUGUCUAUUAUUACAAUAUAUAAUAUGCAAUAUUACAAUAUAUAAUAUGCAUUCUUGGAUAAGUAGAGCUUCACACAAUUGGCUUCAAGGCUUCGCACUUCAACUUUCUUAGGCCUGGAGGUCCUGUAGAAGAAACAACCAUAUUUGUAAGAGCUACAAGAUACAGAUCAAGAAUAGAAACAAGGCACAAAGACAAGCAAUCCUUGGCGGAAACCUUGAGGCGACAAAUGUUUCUGAACUCAAAUGAGAGAAGUUUGAGUCUAGCCAAUUAAACCAACUACCACUGAUGUAACCUAUAAAGAUGGACUGAACAAUAACAAUACAAAAAAUGACAGCUGAAUUAUGAAGAGUCCUAAAAUUGACCCCUUUUGGCCUUAAUUAAUUGUGUGAAGCUGAAAUGAUUAAUCUAAAGUAAGAUAUACCGGUAUGUAGGCAAGAAAUGUAGUUGAAUGACCCAUAUUUGAAUAACUCAAAAAAGAAGGCAGCAUCAAAUACUAUAGUAAUUAUUAUUGGACAUGAUAUAGUAAGGUACUCUCACUGGGUAAGGUACUCUGCAGUACACGUACGUCGUACCAAAGUAUGCGUCGAGACAGUAAGCAGACACUAUUAGAUAGUCUUGUACGCACAUUUUUCCACAUGUAUUUAUAAUAAUUAUUUUUUAGUAAUAUAUGUUGCCAAUGCUAUGUAUCACUAAUUCAGUCCAGCUAAACCGACAAAUGCUACGGGCAGAAGUCCCAUCAGCAUGACAAAUACCCCCCUAAGUCUGAACAACUAGUCCUCGCUUGCGACUACCCAGAUGAUACAAUAAAACCCAUGCGAUUUAGUAUGAUAACAAAGUGCUGGUUUGGCCGCCAACUCAAAACAGCAAUUAAUUUGUACACUCUGUGACACGCAAGUGAAAGGCCACUAACAGAUGCUCUAUCUAACAGUACCUCGGUGAUGACACACUCUGGAGCCAAGUUCCUGAAAUGCACAAACAAUAGUGUAUGGAAAUCUGAGUUCAAAUGCUACAGGAGUAACCAGUUUUUUCAAUGUGUAAAUCAUGUGUUGAACAAAGCAGAAUAAUCAUAAACAAACAGAACUACUUCAGAUCCCAUUGCAAUGUCUAACAAGUAGAUUAGAAGUAUCUCUGCUACUGUACUAACCUCAAAUGAGAGGCCAACCUAUUGCUUUAAGUUAAGCCAAAUGUGAGCUAGUAGUGAGUGCCAAGUGCCAUCCAGAUUGGAAACUACUGUAAUGACAUUCAUCUACAAUGGAAACUGAUACAUUUUGGCAUCAAGAUUUCUUCUUGCCAAAAUAUGACAACAAGCACUGCCAAGACAUGAUCCCCACAUUUUUCACUCGCAGCAAAAGUGCAAAGCAUGAUAUCACACCAAAUAGACAAAUCAAGAAAUGCCUCCUAUCAAGUGCAAAGCAUGCUAUCACACCAGAAAGAUUUGGCAACAAAUCACAAGAGAGCGAGCGAGCAGUAAGAUCAUACCCGUUCCUUCCUAUGCAUCGCCUCUCCCGCGCGCAACAAGUUGAACUGCGCAAGAGGAAACGAAGAAACGCUCAGGAACGCACUCCAGGCCAGACGAGUUGGGCGCCUCCCUCAUCUCCGCCACCGCGGGUCCGGCUCCAUUGGAGGGGGCGUAGGAGCGCUCAUGGGCCGGUUCUUGGUCGCGGCCGUCCUCGCCCGGUUCUGCUGCUCCUGAACCGGACGGUUCCAUCACGAAUCUGCUAGCAGCAAGUAACAAAAUAACUCAGUUCAGAUCAUAGCAAGAAACUUAACUCAGUUCAGAUCAUACUUAUCGGAAAACAGUAGCAGAUUGGCUAUCAGAAGAAUUCAGAAGUUCAGUACAGAAUACAUUACUGAAGCUUAACUCAAUUCUUAACAGAGAUAAUAAAGAUGCAUCACAAGAAACUGCUUAAGCUUGCAUGCCAUGAUUAAGAAAACAUAUGCAGCAACAGCUAUAAGAACAGAAUCCAACAACGAAUGACUGAAGUCUGAAAGGAUCCUUAUUAUUUAGAACAAGAUUACAACAGCACAUAGCAUCUGAGAACGAAAUGUGGCUUACAGUAACAAGUAGCACGGCAAGCUUUCUCAAGAGAUCACAAGCAUAUAACGGCAAAAAGGGCUAGAUUCCAAAAAUAAAUUUCUAAACGCAGGACAAAAUAUUGCACAACAAAAUCUCUAUCAGAAAAAUUUCUACAUGGAGAU
rnacentral:lncRNA from 1 species